AAUUUCAGCUGAAAAAGUCAUAAACAUAAAAGUUGAAGAACUCAUCAAGAUAUACAACUUUUAUUUUGGUCAUUUGUUCAUCCGACAAACUUAGUAACAUUAUUCACAAAUUUACAUAUCUCUCUUAUAGUUUAUAAAACCAUAUGAGAGAUGAAAAAUUCGUGAACAAUAUUAUUGUCACUUUGUCGGAUGAAGAAAUGACCAAAAUAAAAGUUAUAUAUCUUGAUGAGUUAUACAACUUUAUUGUUGAUGACGACUUUUUUAAUUGAAAUC
rnacentral:pre_miRNA from 1 species